rnacentral:rRNA from 1 species
AGCAGCCGCGGUAAUUCCAGCUCCAAUAGCGUAUAUUAAAGUUGCUGCAGUUAAAAAGCUCGUAGUUGAAUUUCGGGACCAAUAUGUCGGUCGUGCUUAGGUACGUACUGGCAUUGUUGGUUUCUCCUUUCUGAAGAACCAUGAUGUCAUUUAUUUGGUGUCGUGGGGAAUCAGGACUGUUACUUUGAAAAAAUUAGAGUGUUUAAAGCAGGCUCACGCUUGAAUACAUUAGCAUGGAAUAAUGAAAUAGGACGUUUGAUUCUAUUUUGUUGGUUUCUAGGAUCGACGUAAUGAUUAAUAGGGAUAGUUGGGGGCAUUAGUAUUCAAUUGUCAGAGGUGAAAUUCUUGGAUUUAUUGAAGACUAACUACUGCGAAAGCAUUUGCCAAGGAUGUUUUCAUUAAUCAAGAACGAAAGUUAGGGGAUCGAAGACGAUCAGAUACCGUCGUAGU